GAGAACCCAACGGCCUACCCAACAGCUCACCACAGAGACACUGUUUCCAGCUACGUGAGGAUUGACAAGCCGCAGCUGCAGCCAGCCAGCUCUUUGCAGCUCCGAGGUUCUGAGCCUUCAGCUCAAUUCUGUGAUUCAACACCGUUCUUCUUAAACAAACAAACAUCGUGACUUAUCUGUGUCCACACUGGAACAACAUUUCUCAUGGCAGCUUUUCAGAGCACUCCAUGGAGGUUGAUUUCUGGGGUCUUAGGAGUAACGUGCCUUGUGCUGAUGGCUACUUUGGGAAUUUUGCUGAAAAAUGCACUUACUAAACAAAGUGUUCAGCCAACACCAUCUCCAGGACCCACCAUGGAACCUCAGAAAGGCUCUGGCGGCUAUUUUUGCCAAGAAAAGUGGAUUGGGUACCAAUGCAAAUGUUACUUCAUUUCCAAUGAAAAAAAAACUUGGGCAGAAAGUAGAAAUUUCUGUGCUUCUCAGAAUUCCACUCUACUUCAGUUGGAAAACAGAGAUGAGCUGGCAUGUGUAUAAUUUUGUUUUUUUAUAUUGUCUUUGGCCUAGGAUAACAUAUUAUCUAAAUAAGCUGAUUACUUUGAUUCAAGCCUUCUCAGAUAGUAAAUGGAUGGUUAUAUUUGACCUAAUAAUGAUUUAUUAAUUUUUUAUUCCUUAGAACAAUCAUUAUAAAACCAACACAAAAUUUCUCAAAAAUUUAUAUUUUAGGAAUAAAAAUUAAGAUAGAUGCCAGCUAAAGUACAAGAGGCAUUUUAGAGAGAAAUCAAAGAAGAAAUUGUCAUUAUUUUUAUUCAAAGAACCAAUUAAGCAAGUUUUCAAUUUUUAGUUUUAAUUGAAUAUAUAAUUUUUGUAAUUAUAUAGCCGUUGUGAUUAUUCUGGGAUAUAAGAAGGAACGAAUAUGAGAGCAUGAUUAUAAUAGUUAUCCAACUCUUAAGACAAGUGAAAUAGUUCUCCAGUUGCAUGAGGAACUUGUGGGGAGUAUAGGACGAAAAGGUUCUAUCUGAAAAAUUAUUCCUCAAGAUGCUUUUGAUUUGGGAUCAAAUCUUAUGGCUGAUCUUCUGUGAAGGAACUGUUCCAUGAAAAUCUAACCUCUUUAUAAAGUUUUCCAUUCAUUCAAGAAUUGUGAUUUGUGAUAUUUUCUUUCUCCGUAAAUGAAUGGACCUCAUAUGUGAGAACAUGAUGAGACAUGACCAUACUUCCUGUACUAGACUUUUAAAAUGAUUUCAGUUUGAUUGAUUGAGAGUCUGGAUAUGAUUCUGGACACCAACUUUCUUGAAAGUACUUUAUUUGUAGAGUAGAUUCAAAUUAGAUUAAUAUAUUUGUCUCUGUUUCAAAGCAGCAGUUUAUAAAAUACAUUAGAAAUUUUUACUGGAUUGGACUCUCUUACUCUGGCCAGCAUCAUGCCUGGUUAUGGGAGGAUGGCUCUGCUUUCUCCAAAGAUCUAUUUGAAUUCACUGAACGUAACAGUGCAGGAAACUGCAUGGUGUAUAAUGCAUUCAAAAGGGGUUUUGGAGAACCCUGCACAGAUGAAAAUUAUUACAUCUGUAAACAACGGCUUAUUUAGGUGUUGCUUAGGGCAGAAGGGUGGGCAAUGAAGGUCCAGUAUUACUAAUAAUGGUCAUUUGAUAUGGGAAUGCCAGCCAUCAUAUCAGGAGCAGCCCUGUUGAAAGGACCAUGUGACAAGAAGCUAAAACCUCUUUGUUGAAUUGUACACUUGAAACCUUAUGGUUUUGUGAACCAAGGUCACCCCAAUAAAUUCAACUUAAAAAGAAAUAUAGUCUUUUUUAGUAGCUAUGUAAUGAGUAUGUCUUGCAAGCCAAUUUUCCAGCUCUACUCAAGCCUUCGGAUAACAGAGUCCCAGCUAUCUUGACAGUCACCUAAUGAGAGAACCUGAGUCACAUCCAUCCUAAGUUCUUCAAGGAUUCCCAACCCUCAGAAACUGUGCAAUAUAAUGUGUUUAUUCUUUGAAGC